rnacentral:rRNA from 1 species
GUGGGGAAUUUUGGACAAUGGGCGCAAGCCUGAUCCAGCAAUGCCGCGUGCAGGAAGAAGGCCUUCGGGUUGUAAACUGCUUUUGUACGGAACGAAACGGUCCUGGUUAAUACCUGGGGCUAAUGACGGUACCGUAAGAAUAAGCACCGGCUAACUACGUGCCAGCAGCCGCGGUAAUACGUAGGGUGCGAGCGUUAAUCGGAAUUACUGGGCGUAAAGCGUGCGCAGGCGGUUUUGUAAGAUCGAUGUGAAAUCCCCGGGCUCAACCUGGGAACUGCAUUGGUGACUGCAAGGCUGGAGUGCGGCAGAGGGGGAUGGAAUUCCGCGUGUAGCAGUGAAAUGCGUAGAUAUGCGGAGGAACACCGAUGGCGAAGGCAAUCCCCUGGGCCUGCACUGACGCUCAUGCACGAAAGCGUGGGGAGCAAACAGGAUUAGAAACCCUGGUAGUCC